rnacentral:rRNA from 1 species
UGGGGAAUUUUGGACAAUGGGCGAAAGCCUGAUCCAGCAAUGCCGCGUGUGUGAAGAAGGCCUUCGGGUUGUAAAGCACUUUUGUCCGGAAAGAAAUCCUUGGCUCUAAUACAGUCGGGGGAUGACGGUACCGGAAGAAUAAGCACCGGCUAACUACGUGCCAGCAGCCGCGGUAAUACGUAGGGUGCAAGCGUUAAUCGGAAUUACUGGGCGUAAAGCGUGCGCAGGCGGUUUGCUAAGACCGAUGUGAAAUCCCCGGGCUCAACCUGGGAACUGCAUUGGUGACUGGCAGGCUAGAGUAUGGCAGAGGGGGGUAGAAUUCCACGUGUAGCAGUGAAAUGCGUAGAGAUGUGGAGGAAUACCGAUGGCGAAGGCAGCCCCCCUGGGCCAAAUACUGACGCUCAUGCACGAAAGGCGUGGGGGAGCAAACAGGAUUAGAUACCCCUGGUAGUCCACGCCCUAAACGAUGUCAACUAGUUGUUGGGGGAUUCAUUUCCUUAGUAACGUAGCUAACGCGUGAAGUUGACCGCCU